rnacentral:tRNA from 1 species
GCAGCAGUGGUGUAGUGGUUAAGAGCAGGCGAACUCUAACCUGGAGGAACGGGGUUUGAUUCCCCGCUCUGCUGCU